GCACCUCCCACAGCAACCUGGGUCCGAAUGGGUUGAACCAUUCGACCCAAUUUGAGUUCUUCUAGGGCCCAAUUGCCCCAGGAUUAAGCUAAUGGGAUCACCUCCCAUUUCUAACUUAAUCAAAGUGCUAACUACGAUUAUUUCCUAAGACAUAUUCUGCAGCUUGCUUCGGUACGUCACUCGCUUCUUCCGGCGAGUUUCCGGCGAACUUCCGUCGAUCAUCCGAUGAACCCUCGAUGAUGCUCCUGCGGACUUCCGGCAAACUCCUGGACUGCGACGAUCCACUUGGCAAGUUCCGACGAGUUCCUUUGGCAAGCUUCUGGACUUCUCGGAUUUGUUUCCGCAGAACCUCCGACGACUGUCCGAACUUCCGUCGAGCUCUCGAACUCCAACGUGAUCAUUGUCAUGACUCCGGCGCAACUCCUGUUGCAUGUCUUACUUUCAUCGUAGUUAAUCCUGCACACUUAUCUCAACACACUAAUUAGUCAAACAAUUGUCAAUUGACUUCAUCAUCAAAAUCCGAGAUUCAAC
rnacentral:lncRNA from 1 species